CAACACUUAAAUGGCCUAAUUCUCUUACGUGUUUUUCUGUGAUUAUUACGUGACUUAUUGUCUAAAUAAUUUAUGAUUAAUUACUUGAUAAAAUAUUCAUGAAGUAAAAUAUAAGAAUAUGAUGGAUUGUUGAUUGAUUUGAUAAUGAAAUAUGUGCAAAAAGUAUACGUUGUGGAGAUGGAAAUAAAUGUGAUUAAAUGUGAUGAUGUCUGAUCUAUCUAUCUGUGAUGAGGUCUGAUUUGUCUGUCUGUGUUGAUAUAUUAUUAUCUUAGUAGAUUAUAAGUAAUUAUGUGAUAAAGGACUUGUGAAGUAAAACAUGAGAAUAUGAUGAAUUAUUGAAUGAUUUGGUAAUGAGAUGUGAAAAGGGAAGAAUAUGGUUGUGACUGUAGAAAAUGUGGAAAUGAGCAUUAAGAAGGAUAUGAUAAAUGAUAUAUGAUGAUGAGAUGUAUACAAAUAUGAUUAAAUGUGAUGAUGCUUGAUCUAUCUAUCUAUCUAUCUAUCUAUCUAUCUAUCUAUCUAUCUAUCUAUCUAUCUAUCUAUCUAUCUGUGAUGAGGUAUGAUCUGUCUGUGUUGUUGGGAAUCUGGGAUGAUUUUGAGAAUGUCGGAAUUUAAUCUAUAAAUUCGAUAUGAUAUGGUGUGAAAAUAAGUUGUUGAUGUGUUAUAUUAGAAAUAAUUGAGAAUAUGUAUUGAGAUGAAAAUGAGUAAAUUUGAUGGUGUUUACGCCCCGUGCUUGAGUGUAUUCUGUGGGUACAAUUGGCAUGCCAUAGGACAGCAGCGCUGCAUCAUCUGUGAUCUCUCGUCUUCUGGAUAACCGAAGCUAGGAUCGUCUAUUAUCUGAUCUGUCUGAUCUGCACCCUAUGGGUGGUCUGUUCCUGAGAUUAUCUGUCUGCAUCCGAAAUGGAUGGUCUGAUUAUCUGUCUGCACCCUAAUUAGGUGGUCUGUGCGGAGUCCUCUCGAGGACAAAAUCCGCGUCUGUAUCUGAUUCUGAUCUGGUCCGUGUACCCUAGUCUGUCACUAAGCACAUUAAGGGGCCAUGUGUGAAAUUAUGUGAUAAUGUCGAUCAAAAUAUUCGUAAUGAUAUAUGUGACAAUAUGUGUAUGACAACAUAUGAGUUAUAAUAUGAGAUUGUGUGAAACAUCUGUUAUAAUUUGAUAUGAUAAUAUCUUAUACGUGAAAAUGGAUUCUGUUACAUGGUUCUGUUGAGUUUUAUUAUAAAUAUUGAAAAUCUGAGACUUGCAGAUGUAGUUUAUGACAUGUGAAGUUUUGUAUUAUUAUACCCCUCUGAUGACAUAGUUUGGAAAUUUGAAGUCGUGGACGAAGAUUUGACUACUGGUACGGGUUAAUUGGAUCGUGGAUUCCUUUGGAUAUUUCUUUCGUUUCUUCUCCAGCACUGCAUCCUCGGUGGGUCACUGAUCAUUGCUUGCGGCGUUUGUGUCCAUUUAUGUUAGAUGUGGCAUGUAUAGUAUUUGAAUAUUUGUAAUAGCUUCCGCUGUGUUUGUAAAUAGUGUUGGAACUUUUGCUGACAGGUUAAUGAAUUAAGUUUGGUUUUUAA